rnacentral:SRP_RNA from 1 species
GGCUAGAUCCUGAAUGAUGCUUUACUGUGAACCCCGCCAGGACCGGAAGGUAGCAACGGUAGCAGACGUAAGUAGGUGUUCAGAUCAUCUAGCCGUC